AAAAUACAGUAGUUCAUAAGGAUUAAAUGUCAUAUAGUCAAAGAAAUUGUUAUGAAAUUAUGCUCAUAUAUGUAAACUCAUCAUAUUAUAAACUGAAUUAGUCUAUGCCUUUGAUAAUCCAGGCAGUGAUUAAUUAUCUAGCUUUUACAGCCAGUUAAUACACUGCUGUUCAAUGUGUACUGUUGUAUAAAUGAACACACACAGAUAGCUGAUAACAUCUGGAGAUUCUGACCAAGAUAAAGACCAAUGGAAAUGCAGGCUUCUGACGCCGUUUUACACAUGUAGCCCCAAGAAAUAAUCCCAAUACUUUUUUAUUUUUUUCUGUGAUCUUUGCAAAUUCUGUGAGCAAAUAAAUGGAAAAAUUCUCAUGAACUGUAUAUAUAGUUUAAGAACAUUCCAGAUAUUCCCUUCAGUAACUAUACUGUUCCAAGGAAUAUUGCUCAUGAAUACAACAAUUUGAAUGUAAACAGGAAGUGCUUUGUCUAGAUGUUGGAGGCAAAAUGGAAUGGAGCUAAAUAAUUUUGUACCUUGAAAUUCUAAAAUGCUUUUAGAGAGAUAUCAGAUGCAAGAGUGUACAUAUUUAGUUAUUAGAAGCAUUGUCUUCAACAUGUAUGAAUGAAAUGAUGUAAUCAGAGAUAUUUGAUGGCUUUAGUGACUAUGCUACUGGAUGAAAUGAGAUCACAGACAGAGACCCCAUCAAACACUAAACUAAAUGGCUGGGAUGAGGUUCCUGACCCUGGUGAUGGUUUUAGCAAAGCUAUAAGAGACAUUCUAGUGCCACCUAUAGUGAGCCAACAUAACUCCAAAAAUGAUUUUGUUGUAUUCAUAACUUUCUAUUAAAUCAUUUUUAUAUUUAA